UACGAAGGGGGCUAGCGUUGCUCGGAAUCACUGGGCGUAAAGGGCGCGUAGGCGGCGUUUUAAGUUGGGGGUGAAAGCCUGUGGCUCAACCACAGAAUUGCCUUCGAUACUGGGACGCUUGAGUGUGGUAGAGGUUGGUGGAACUGCGAGUGUAGAGGUGAAAUUCGUAGAUAUUCGCAAGAACACCGGUGGCGAAGGCGGCCAACUGGACCAUCACUGACGCUGAGGCGCGAAAGCGUUGGGGAGCAAACAGG
rnacentral:rRNA from 1 species